rnacentral:lncRNA from 1 species
GUCCCUGUUCACUGUGUCGAACCUGUGUCAGGUCUAUGAAGACAAUGUAGAGACUCAGGUUCUGCUCAAGGCAUUUUUCCUGCAUUUGCCUCACCAUGAAGACCAUGUCAAUGGUGCUACGAUCUGGUCGGAAGCCACAUUGUGAUUCAGGCAGGUUCUGCUCUGAAACAGAUGACAGGAGUCUGUUGAGUAUAACACGGGCAAGAAUCUGGUGGAGAGACUUCCGAUCGCUUCAACAUAUCCAAUGGCAUGAAACAAGGCUGUGUCCUUGCUCUAGUACUAUUCAACCUAUCCUUCACCCAAGUAUUAUGACAUGCUGUGAUGGAUCUAGACCUGGGCGUCUACAUCAAAUUCCGACUGGAUGGCUCACUAUUUGACCUUCGCCGCCUGACUGCAAAAACAAAGACAACAGAGAGACUCAUCCUGGAAGCUCUCUUCACAGAUGACUGUGCUCUCAUGGCCCACCAAGAAAAUGAUCUCCAAACCAUUGUGGACAGGUUCUCCACCGCAACAAAACUGUUUGGCCUGACUAUCAGCCUCAGCAAAACAGAGGUGCUGUUCCAACCUGCACCAGGGAGGCCAACUAACCAGCCGUGCAUUACAAUCGACAGCACACAGCUUUCUAAGGUCAACACUUUCAAGUACCUGGGCAGCACCAUCGCCAAUGACGGGUCCCUAGACCACGAGAUCAAUGCCAGGAUCCAAAAGGCCAGCCAGGCACUCGGGCGGCUGCGCUGCAAAGUCCUCCAACACAGCGGUGUAAGCACUGCAACGAAGCUCAAAGUGUAUAACUCAGUGGUCCUCAGCUCGCUCCUGUAUGGUUGUGAGACAUGGACACUGUACCGGAAGCACAUGAAGCAGUUGGAGCAAUUCCACCAACGCUCCCUCCGGUCAAUCGUGAGGAUCCGAUGGCAGGACCGAAUCACCAACCAGGAAGUCCUCGACAGAGCCAACUCCACCAGCAUCGAAGUCCUGGUCCUCCAAACCCAGCUACGAUGGUCUGGACACGCCAUCCGCAUGGACCCACAGCGAAUACCAAGACAGGUAUUCUAUGGUGAACUGUCAGCUGGACUCAGGAAACAAGGCCGACCAAAGAAAAGAUUCAAGGAUCAGCUAAAGUCCAACUUGAAGUGGGCUGGCAUGACACCAAAGCAACUAGAACUCGCUGCCUCUGUCAGAAGCAGCUGGCGAACCCACAUUAACCAUGCUGCCACCACCUUUGAAGAUGAACGACGUCGACGUCUUGCCGCUGCGCGUGAACGCCGACACCAGGCCACAACCGCACCUCCCGUAACAACUGGAGUCCCAGGCCCCAUGUGCCACAAACUGUGCGCCUCAGCCUUUGGACUUCAAAGCCACAUGAGG